ensembl:lncRNA
GUUCUGGAAUAGAACUGAGUGCUCCUUGGUGUUCUUUACCUGUGUUCUGGAAUAGAACUGAGUGCUCCUUGGUGUUCUUUACCUGUGUUCUGGAAUAGAACUGAGUGCUCCUUGGUGUUCUUUAUCUGUGUUCUGGAAUAGAACUGAGUGCUCCUUGGUGUUCUUUAUCUGGGUUCUGGAAUAGAAUUCAGUGCCCCUUGGUGUUCUUUACCUGUGUUCUGGAAUAGAACUGAGUGCUCCUUGCUGUUCUUUUUAGCAAAGCUAAACGCUUAAAACAAUCAGCUCCACGAAAAGGAGAUACAAAACUAAUACCAUAGACAUUCAUUGUUUUUGUCCUGAAAAUAAAAACAGACAAAUGAAAUAACUUACAAAUUCCAUGAGAAGAGCCUGUGGUUGUUUCCAGAAGUAUAAGAAGCAGAAGCACAGUUUUACAGACAUGGGCUGCAGUGGUAUAAUGUAGGCUAUGUACCCACUGGGCACAGACGUCAGUUCAACAUCUAGUUUUCAUUUAUAUUUGGUUGAGUUGUCAACUAACAUGAAUCCAAUGUGAAAUUAACUAAAAAUGUCACGAUGACAUUGGAGUUAGGUUAAAAGAUGGGUGUAAAAUAGACUAAAUUCCCAUUGGUUGAUAACUUUCUAAUCCAAUCAGUUUUCCACAUUGAUUGAAUUUCAUCGCAGAUAAAAAAAAAUUGGUUGAAAUGCUGUAAUAACGUUGAUUCAACCAGUUUUUGCCCAGUGGGUAUUUUAUAUGAUACAGCCAGACAGGGUUGGGCUCAAUUCCAUUUCAAUUCCAGUCAAUAGAGAAAGUAAACCAAAUUCCAAAUGUUCUUUAUUGACGAGAAUUGGAAUUUCAGUGUACUUCCUGAAUUGAGCUCAACCUUGUAGCCAGGUUAGCUGGUGGUUACAGCAGGGGAACAUCACCUAGAUUCAGCCACAGAACCAUUUUUACAUUCUUCAGCAGAUGUUCAGAGGUUUGGGAAACAUCAUUAGAAAUUAUUUAUAGACUGCAAAUUGACCACAAGAAGCCACAACACAUAUAUUUGACUAAAAAACAAAUAAUUUCAAACAGAGGGUUGGUAGACAUCAUCCAGAGGGUUGGUAGACAUCAUCCAGGGGUUGAAUAUGAACCCCAAGGGAGACAUCAUCCAGGAGGUUGAAUAUGUUCCCCAGGUAGACAUCAUCCAGGGGGUUGGUAGACAUCAUCCAGGAGGUUGAAUAUGAACCCCAGGUAGACAUCAUCCAGGGGUUGAAUAUGAACCCCAGGUAGACAUCAUCCAGGGGGUUAAAUAUGAACCCCAGGUAGACAUCAUCCAGGGGGUUGAAUAUGUUUCCAAGGGAGAUGUCAUCCAGGGGGUUGAAUAUGAACCCCAAGGUAGACAUCAUCCAGGGGGUUGGUAGACAUCAUCCAGGGGUUGAAUAUGAACCCCAGGUAGACAUCAUCCAGGGGUUGAAUAUGAACCCCAGGUAGACAUCAUCCAGGGGGUUAAAUAUGAACCCCAGGUAGACAUCAUCCAGGGGGUUGGUAGACAUCAUCCAGGGGGUUGAAUAUGUUUCCAAGGGAGAUGUCAUCCAGGGGGUUGAAUAUGAACCCCAAGGUAGACAUCAUCCAGGGGGUUGGUAGACAUCAUCCAGGGGUUGAAUAUGAACCCCAGGUAGACAUCAUCCAGGGGGUUGAAUAUGAACCCAAGGUAGACAUCAUCCAGAGGGUUGAAUAUGAACCCCAGGUAGACAUCAUCCAGGGGGUUGAAUAUGAACCCAAGGUAGACAUCAUCCAGGGGUUGGUAGACAUCAUCCAGGGGUUUGAAUAUGAACCCAAGGUAGAAAUCAUCCAGGGGUUGAAUAUGAACCCCAAGGGAGACAUCAUCCAGGGGGUUGGUAGACAUCAUCCAGAGGGUUGAAUAUGAACCCAAGUUAGACAUCAUCCAGGGGGUGGAAUAUGAACCCCAAGGUAGACAUCAUCCAGAGGGUUGAAUAUGAACCCAAGGUAGACGUCAUCCAGGGGGUUGAAUAUGAACCCCAAGGUAGACAUCAUCCAGAGGGUUGAAUAUGAACCCAAGGGAGACUUCAUCCAGGGGGUUGGUAGACAUCAUCCAGGGGGUUGGGAGACGUCAUCCAGGGGGUUGGGAGACGUCAUCCAGGGGGUUGAAUAUGAACCCAAG